rnacentral:rRNA from 1 species
AAUGGAUUAGUGGCGAACGGGUGAGGAACACGUGAGAAACCUGCCUUUCAUUCUGGGAUAACUCCGGGAAACCGGGGCUAAUACCGGAUACGAGACCUGCAGGCAUCUGCGGGUCUGGAAAGUUUUUCGGUUGAAGAUGAUCUCGCGGCCUAUCAGCUUGUUGGUGAGGUAAAGGCUCACCAAGGCGACGACGGGUAGCCGGCCUGAGAGGGCGACCGGCCACACUGGGACUGAGACACGGCCCAGACUCC